AGAGCACCGGCUUCAACACCAGGAUUGGUCGCAAGUAGGAAGCUUUCGCCACUACACUGGGACCGUCGGACUGUGCCAGCGCCGCACCCGAAGCGGUAGCGGGCUCCGCGCUCAGGUGCUCAGGUGAUAUGCAAUUGAACUUGAGAUGAAUAACAUGUUUGGGGGAAUUGUUGACAUAUAGUAACUCCACAGCAUGUGGCCCCAGGAACUGCCCUAAAUGAUUAAAGGUUGAAUACAACUUAAAAGAAACAGCUAUUUUAUUCACCUGUUAUUGGACUUGAAACUCCUUUGACCUCAGAAACUGAAGAUGAGGUUGCCAUGGGAACUGCUGGUGCUGCAGUCAUUCAU